CUCGCAUGCGGCGCCCUCCCAGCCCUGCUCGCAGCGGCAGCCGCAGGUCUCGGGGGAGAAGGUCCCGUGGCCGCUGCAGUGGCCGUUGGCACCUGCAGGCGAGAGGAAGAAACUUUGGACGUGCAAGCUCCUCGGCGGCAAUCCCGUGCUGUUUCAUUCACGGCAGUGUCCCUGGUGCCUACUUCUGUGUCUGGUACACAGGAGGUGCUCUCAACGGUAGCACUUCCUCCAGCAUGAACAGGUACGCCAACAUACCACUGGAUACUCGGAUCAGCUUUCGUAAUUAUCAGCUAUGGGCCAGGGAACUUAUGUACGGCAUCUAGAGUCCUCAGAACUAGACUAGUGGAUAGAGUUUUCCUAACUGGGCAGUUUAGAAAACUUCAGGAACUGACCCAGAGUCACACAACUAAAAAGCAGCGAAACCCAUCUGUACCCAGUCCUGUCUAGCUCCAAGGCUGACUGUCCUUCCUGUCUUUCCCACUGCUUCCCCUUCCAGUAGAGAUUGGAUCCACAGGUCAAACAGCACCCAGAAGUGUAAACUCAGGAGUCCAGACUCCCUUUCAGGGUUGCCGGUCCCUCAGCACCUGGGUAGCUCAGUUGGUUAAGGGAGCGACUUUGGCUCGGGUCAUAAUCUCACAGUUCGUGGGUUCAAGCCCCUCGUCGGGCUCUGUGCUGGCAGCUCGGAGCCUGGAGCCUGCUUCGGAUGCUGGGUCUCCCUCUCUCUCUGCCCCUCCCCCACUCACACUCUGUCUCUCAGAAAUGAAUAAACGUUAAAGAUUUUUUCUACAAAGAGUUGCUGGUCCCUCUCUACUGAGGCUCGCAGAUGCUUCCUGGAGCUAGUGUCGAAGAUGAGACGCCCACUCCACCCUUAGAAAACCCAGAGGGAGGUGGGAGCACACCAGACUCCCACAGGACACCUGGCAUGUGGAAGGCGCCCGUUAGUUGUUUGUUGAAUGAAUACCAGAUGGUAAAAGCUCACCGGCAACUCCUCGGCAGCAGCGCUGAACAUCACACCGCUCCUUCACCUCCGCCAUCUCUUCCUCCAGCUUCUUCACUCGGGCCAGGAGGGCUUGGACGCUGCCUGCCAGCUCACAGUCCUUCUGUGGCGUCUGCAGGCGGAUGUUGUGCCUGAAGAUGAUGUUCUGUUCCUCGGCCUCCCCUGAGGCCAGGAGUGAGGCCCCAUCGUCACUAAGGGGCUGGGGGUCAGUCUCGACCUGGACCAGAGCAGACUUGGGCACAUCAAUCUUGUAGGUGUGGCUGACAGUAACCUGUGGCUCCUUGUCCCUGCAGCCCUGAGGCUCGAGGGUGGCCGGGGCUGAGGCCACCAAAAGCACAGAGCCAAAGAGGAGCCCCAGGGGGAAGCAGAACAUCCCCCGGAGACCCAUCCUUGGGGAGACAGGAAGCAGAUCCUCUCGGAGACCUGUAUCCAGAAAAGAUGCAAACGAAAGCCAUGAAGAUUUGCUGGUGGAAAUUGCCCUUCAUAGUAGAUUCGAAGAGUCCACAGGAAGCUGAGAACCCAGCAGAACUACAUCCUAUAUCUCCUGAGGAUCCAAACUAAAUUUUGUGUUCUUUCUCCUGCUUCCUGUCUUUGCUUACACCGUUCACUCCCUGGGAGACUCUCCUCUUCACCUCUAACUCAAUACUCACCUGACGGAUAGUGACAAGGAAAACAAUUGCGACCAGGCUUUGAUCUCCCCAUCCCUGAUCUAAACCACACACCGAGUAAUUCCCUCCCCAUUAACACCACCUACAGAACAGCCGCACCUAGAGAGCAUGCUGUGUGCCAGGCGCUGUCCUAAAUGUUCUGCGUUGAUUACCUUAUUCGAGCCUGACAACAAUGCUUCGCAGAAUAUACUAUUACUACCCCAUUUUGCAGAUACAGAAACUGAGACUCAGCUCCCUAAAGUGACUUGCCCACAGGCAAACAGCCAAGAUGGCCGAAUUUGAAUCCAGAGACCAUGCUCAUCCCCACUUUGUCACGCUGCUUUGCACACGUGAGGAAACCAAGGUUCAAGGGACUGAGCAAGUUGUCCCAGGUGCCACAGCCAGGAAGGGCAGAGCCUGUCCUCGGACCCCAGGCCAGGGUCCUGCUCACCACCUCUGCCUGCGAGCCAGCAAAAGAUGAGAGCUUCUAAUACAAAUAAUUCUUCCAUGAAGCCUUCUCUCAUGCCCCCCCCCCCCCAUCUCACUCCAGCUGGAAACUACUAGCUCUCCUGCUGAGCAUUCAGAGAAAUGUAUUGGCUCCUCUGUGAGUCUCUUCACGGUCUACCUUGUGUUACAGUUACUCUUGUAUGCAGUUUGUCUCCCCAUGAGGCUGUCAGCCUCUUAAGGACAGGACCCAAGGCUGGUCCCUCCCGGAGCCCUCCCAAGGCAAGAGCAAAGAGCCACCCAAGCCAAGGGGUUCAGUCACCCUCAAAUCCAUGCUCAGUGGCCUGGUUUGUCAGUCAGGCCAGGCCACCCUGGCAGGAGCAGGCAAUUAGGUUUCGCCUCUAGUUUGGCCCCCAGGAGGUGUGAGCCUUCCUCCAUGAGUGUGCAGAAGGACCCCUGUCUCUAGCUCCUAUCCAGGAUGGCACGUUCUUGACCACUAUCAGACCGAGGCUGGACAGACACAGGAGACCUAGCCAGUGCUUCACAUUCGCUCAGGGGCACUCACUCACCAGAACACCUCUCAGCUGGGCUGUCACAAAACCUUUGCUAGAAACCGAGCUGCAGGGCUGCCUCUGGCCGAUGGGCUUCUGUGACCAACUCAUGACUCGUAAGCGUUUGUAUCGAGACUGAAGUCAGGAAGCCUUGUCCUUUCCUGGAGGUGAUGUCCCAGUCAAGCCCAGGCUCCCCCUCCCCAUUAUAAGAGGCAGUGACAAUGUGCUGGAAAAACAAAUCAGGUCCUAGGUGUGUAGCCUCGCGAAGGCUCCUUAUCCUCCUGUUAACCAUCAUCCUCUGGUAAAGUGGGAAUGAUAACACCUGCUUCCCGCAUCGUAUGUGGAGAGCACUUCGCGCCAUGCCAAGCACACGGUAAGUGCUCAGUAAAUGAGGUUUGGGUUUUAAUCAA